rnacentral:rRNA from 1 species
UCAGGAUGAACGCUAGCUACAGGCUUAACACAUGCAAGUCGAGGGGCAGCAUUGGGAUAGCUUGCUAUUCCAGAUGGCGACCGGCGCACGGGUGAGUAACGCGUAUCCAACCUUCCCUAUAGUAGAGAAUAGCCCGGCGAAAGUCGGAUUAAUGCUCUAUGUUGUGUUUUUGAGGACAUCUGAGGAACACCAAAGGUUCACCGCUAUAGGAUGGGGAUGCGUCUGAUUAGCUUGUUGGCGGGGUAACGGCCCACCAAGGCAACGAUCAGUAGGGGUUCUGAGAGGAAGGUCCCCCACAUUGGUACUGAGACACGGACCAAACUCCUACGGGAGGCAGCAAUGAGGAAUAUUGGUCAAUGGGCGAGAGCCUGAACCAGCCAAGUAGCGUGCAAGGACGACUGCCCUAUGGGUUGUAAACUGCUUUUAUCAGGGAAUAAAGUGCGGCACGUGUGCCGUUUUGUAUGUACCUGAUGAAUAAGGACCGGCUAAUUCCGUGCCAGCAGCGGC